GUAGCGUAUAUUAAAGUUGUUGCAGUUAAAACGCUCGUAGUCGAACUUCGGGCCUGGCGGGAUGGUCCGCCUUACGGUGUGCACUGUCUGGCCGGGCCUUACCUCCUGGUGAGGCCUCAUGUCCUUUACUGGGUGUGGGGUGGAACCAGGAAUUUUACCUUGAGAAAAUUAGAGUGUUCAAAGCAGGCAAACGCCCGAAUACAUUAGCAUGGAAUAAUAGAAUAGGACGUGCGGUUCUAUUUUGUUGGUUUCUAGAGUCGCCGUAAUGAUUAAUGGGGACGGUCGGGGGCAUUAGUAUUCCGUUGCUAGAGGUGAAAUUCUUAGAUUGACGGAAGACUAACAACUG
rnacentral:rRNA from 1 species